rnacentral:rRNA from 1 species
GAUGAACGCUGGCGGCGUGCCUAAUACAUGCAAGUCGAGCGAACAGACGAGGAGCUUGCUCCUCUGACGUUAGCGGCGGACGGGUGAGUAACACGUGGAUAACCUACCUAUAAGACUGGGAUAACUUCGGGAAACCGGAGCUAAUACCGGAUAAUAUAUUGAACCGCAUGGUUCAAUAGUGAAAGACGGUUUUGCUGUCACUUAUAGAUGGAUCCGCGCCGCAUUAGCUAGUUGGUAAGGUAACGGCUUACCAAGGCGACGAUGCGUAGCCGACCUGAGAGGGUGAUCGGCCACACUGGAACUGGACCACGGUCCAGACUCCUACGGGAGGCAGCAGUAGGGAAUCUUCCGCAAUGGGCGAAAGCCUGACGGAGCAACGCCGCGUGAGUGAUGAAGGUCUUCGGAUCGUAAAACUCUGUUAUUAGGGAAGAACAAAUGUGUAAGUAACUAUGCACGUCUUGACGGUACCUAAUCAGAAAGCCACGGCUAACUACGUG